UACGUAGGGGCCAAGCGUUGUCCGGAUUUAUUGGGCGUAAAGAGCUCGUAGGCGGUUCGGCAAGUCGAAUGUGAAAUCUCCACGCUCAACGUGGAGGGGUCAUUCGAUACUGCCGUGACUCGAGUCCGGUAGGGGAGUGUGGAAUUCCCGGUGUAGCGGUGAAAUGCGCAGGAUAUCGGGAGGAACACCAAUGGCGAAGGCGAGCUUGCUGGG
rnacentral:rRNA from 1 species